GGAGUGGUAGUUCAGUUGGUUAGAAUGCCGGCCUGUCACGCCGGAGGUCGCGGGUUCGAGUCCCGUCCACUCCG
rfam:Idiomarina loihiensis L2TR, complete genome.